GAUCACUAUGAUGAAACUUUGGUUCCUUGAACAUUCGCAGUUUCCACGGUAGGAGUACGCCUUUCGAACCCAUCGAUAUAGUGCUCCCGGUGACCGCUCAUUUGAGACCUUCCUAGGAUGUCUGAGUGAUC
rnacentral:snoRNA from 1 species